AUUGAACGCUGGCGGCAGGCCUAACACAUGCAAGUCGAAUGGUAACAGGAAACAGCUUGCUGUUUCGCUGACGAGUGGCGGACGGGUGAGUAAUGUCUGGGAAACUGCCUGAUGGAGGGGGAUAACUACUGGAAACGGUAGCUAAUACCGCAUAACGUCGCAAGACCAAAGAGGGGGACCUUCGGGCCUCUUGCCAUCAGAUGUGCCCAGAUGGGAUUAGCUAGUAGGUGGGGUAACGGCUCACCUAGGCGACGAUCCCUAGCUGGUCUGAGAGGAUGACCUGCCACACUGGAACUGAGACACGGUCCAGACUCCUACGGGAGGCAGCAGUGGGGAAUAUUGCACAAUGGGCGCAAGCCUGAUGCAGCCAUGCCGCGUGUAUGAAGAAGGCCUUCGGGUUGUAAAGUACUUUCAGCGGGGAGGAAGGGAGUAAAGUUAAUACCUUUGCUCAUUGACGUUACCCGCAGAAGAAGCACCGGCUAACUCCGU
rnacentral:rRNA from 1 species